rnacentral:rRNA from 1 species
CCUACGGGAGGCAGCAGUGGGGAAUAUUGGACAAUGGGGGCAACCCUGAUCCAGCCAUGCCGCGUGUGUGAAGAAGGCCCUCGGGUUGUAAAGCACUUUCAGUGAGGAAGAACGCCUGGUGGUUAAUACCCAUCAGGAAAGACAUCACUCACAGAAGAAGCACCGGCUAACUCCGUGCCAGCAGCCGCGGUAAUACGGAGGGUGCGAGCGUUAAUCGGAAUUACUGGGCGUAAAGCGCGCGUAGGUGGCUUGAUAAGCCGGGUGUGAAAGCCCCGGGCUCAACCUGGGAACGGCAUCCGGAACUGUCAAGCUAGAGUGCAGGAGAGGAAGGUAGAAUUCCCGGUGUAGCGGUGAAAUGCGUAGAGAUCGGGAGGAAUACCAGUGGCGAAGGCGGCCUUCUGGACUGACACUGACACUGAGGUGCGAAAGCGUGGGUAGCAAACAGGAUUAGAUACCCCUGUAGUC